rnacentral:rRNA from 1 species
AGUGAACGCUGGCGGUAGGCCUAACACAUGCAAGUCGAACGGCAGCACAGUAAGAGCUUGCUCUUACGGGUGGCGAGUGGCGGACGGGUGAGGAAUACAUCGGAAUCUACUUUUUCGUGGGGGAUAACGUAGGGAAACUUACGCUAAUACCGCAUACGACCUACGGGUGAAAGCAGGGGAUCUUCGGACCUUGCGCGAUUGAAUGAGCCGAUGUCGGAUUAGCUAGUUGGCGGGGUAAAGGCCCACCAAGGCGACGAUCCGUAGCUGGUCUGAGAGGAUGAUCAGCCACACUGGAACUGGGACACGGUCCAGACUCCUACGGGAGGCAGCAGUGGGGAAUAUUGGACAAUGGGCGCAAGCCUGAUCCAGCCAUACCGCGUAGGUGAAGAAGGCCUUCGGGUUGUAAAGCCCUUUUGUUGGGAAAGAAAAGCAGCAGGUUAAUACCCCGCUGUUCUGACGGUACCCAAAGAAUAAGCACCGGCUAACUUCGUG